GUUUUUUUAUCACUCAAUUCAAUAACUCUAGUAUUUUUAUUGUCAAAUGUGUCUGAUGAUUGAUUUUUAAUACGAGGUGUUACAUCAACUGGAGUUGUCAGAGUUAGAGUUGUUAGGGCUGAUCUUCUAUUUGGAUUGACACCUAAAUUUUCCCAAUUAAUCCAUGCCAAACGAGCCAUUAAAUCUUGGAAAAAAAUAAUAAGAAAAAUAACUCGUUCACUACUCAUUUCACCUCUAAGGCACAUUUCAAUGUACGUCAAGGGAUCAACAUUUUUAACUUUUAAUACUUCAGUUAACAAUGCA